AUAAGACUUUGAAAAUGUCAAGAAAGUGGUAUAUGGUACAUAUAUAUUUAAAUGAUUUUACAAAAGGGAUUGUGUAGAAAAUUAUACCUAUCGAUUAUUUCAAUUAAUUGUUAUUAGAUUUCUAUUAAAACAAACCGAUUUAUUAUGGGGUUUCUAAAUUAUCAUAAAUUCAGCUCAGAGUGUAUUAGUUAGACAACAUCACAUUCUUCACAGAAGUGUUGACUGGAAUGGACUAAUCUGUCACAAUUUCACAACAUCCUAUCAGACAAUUCACAGAUAUAUCAGAUGAGGCUUAAUCUCUCAAAGAUGGUGAGGUAUUCUUUCGUAUGCAUGUUUUUUUAUCUGGAAUCAGUUGUUGUUAUUGUGGCAUUGUAUUGGCAGAAAGCAUCUAUGAAGUAAUUUGGAGGAAUGCUGCUGAGUUGACAGUCCUUGGCCGCAUAAAAAUCCGUUUUCAUUCCGGUUACGUAGACCCGACAAUCAUGGAGUCAGUGUUUCUACAUAGUAGUUUGAAAUUGAUUUGUGAAUAUCGGAGUCCUUGCAUUAACUUUAGAGUUAGAUACUUCUGCUACCACCUGUGCCAGACGAAUCACCUUGUUCACGCACUUUAAAUACUAUGCAGUACCCACAAAUUAAUUCCAACAAAACUGCCGCUUCUGUGAAAUUUUGUAUAUGCAUAAAUACAUUUGUGAAUACCCUUGGAUGUUUUGAUCGCGUCACAGUGACAUUUGCUCAAUUACUUUUCCGUAAUAAUGAAUCAUAAUUGCCAAAGUAGUGUUAAAUGUCAUUACUGAGGCGCCGAAUUUGACGUUGCAGCGCUUUUGAGCGUCAAAAAUUUUAUUAAUGUACAAAUAUUUAUGUUUAAAUUUUUAGACGGAACGAACUCAUUCUUUGACCGAAUUUAGAGCGAAAAGUGUGAAAUUCAGAAAAUAGGACAGAACUUGCAAAUUGAUUCUUUGAGCCCCGAUAUUCGAACAUUCUUGGAAAUUGCCUUGCCUGCAGCCUAUUCAAAAAGGGAUAGUGUGGAUCGUGUCACACUACCAACAACAUCAAUUUCAAAGGAGGAUGUUAUUAUUACAACCCCAAAAACCCUUGUGAAUGAGCGGAAAUCACAAACAAUUGCUACACAAAACUUUCUGCCACCCGAAAUUGAAGAACUUCCACACGAAGCUAAGGAUAUACUAAAGAGACUGUUAGAAGUCGAGCCAAAACAACGUUUGCGUUCAGUUUUGUCACUACAAAAAAUUGCACUUUACAAGAACUUUAAAAUUGAUCCCGAAUAUUUGCUCAAUCUCCGUCCAAUUGAUAUGAUAAGUCCUGAUGAUAUUGCUGCCUUCACACAAGACCCAGAAGACGACAACUCUUGGGCAGAAAAACAAUUUUACAAAUUCUAACUAUCAUGCCAAUUAAAGUACAAUUUCUAGGUUUAGUUGAAAUUUAAACGAACACAUGAGUCGGUUUGAGGAGAUCUAAAUGUAUUUACGCUUUUAUUUUUCCAAUAUGUGUCAUAUACUAUAAAUAUAUUGAAAAUAACCAUAAAAAA